UCUCCGUAGGUGAACCUGCGGAGGGAUCAUUACUGAGUGAGGGUCUCCGGGCCCGACCUCCAACCCCGUAACUACCUUACCAUCCGUUGCCUCGGCGGGCCGUCGACUCCCUCGGGCGUCGCCGUCGGCCCCCGCGCCCUCGAGCGCCCGCCGCAGGACCAACCCCAAACCCCUCGCGAACCCAGCGGACUGAAACGAAAUUAAAUACUUCAAAACUUUCAACGACGGAUCUCUUGGUUCUGGCAUCGAUAAAGAACGCAGC
rnacentral:misc_RNA from 1 species